rnacentral:rRNA from 1 species
GGUGAACGCUGGCGGCGUGCCUAAGACAUGCAAGUCGAGCGGGGCAGGUUUAUACCUGUUCAGCGGCGGACGGGUGAGUAACGCGUGGGUGACCUACCCGGAAGAGGCGGACAACCUGGGGAAACCCAGGCUAAUCCGCCAUGUGGUCCUGUCCUGUGGGGCAGGACUAAAGGGGCGACCCGCUUCCGGAUGGGCCCGCGUCCCAUCAGCUAGUUGGUGGGGUAAAGGCCCACCAAGGCGACGACGGGUAGCCGGUCUGAGAGGAUGGCCGGCCACAGGGGGACCGAGAAACGGGGCCCACUCCUACGGGAGGCAGCAGUUAGGAAUCUGCCGCAAUGGACGGAAGUCUGACGGAGCGACGCCGCUUGGAGGAGGAAGCCCUUCGGGGUGUAAACUCCUGAACUGGGGACGAAAGCCCCGUGUAGGGGGAUGACGGUACCCAGGUAAUAGCGCCGGCCAACUCCGUG